GGCUUCAAACGUUCUCCUUUAAGACAUAUGACCUCUAUUUUCUUCUGCACUUAAAUGUUUUCCCAUUAUUUACUAACUAUCUAUAUAAGCUGAAUUUGAGGCCAUUUAGAAGACGUUUAAUUACACUGUGAAACAAAAAAAAAGUACAUUGACUUUCUCCAAGGUCAUCAUUUUUUGAACUUCUGCCUUUUUGGAUAUGGUCGAUAUAAAUUUGUUAAUAGCUCUUGACCUACUUUAAGACUGCCUCAAUCCGGACCUUCCGGAGGGCACUUAUUUUUGUUCCACAGAUUUAUAGUUCAU